rnacentral:lncRNA from 1 species
AGCAGAACCCAGCCCUGCUUAAUUCUCCUCGGGGCUCCCCCGCACCACUCUCUCCUCUAAAUGCAGGCUGCGAAAGAGCAUCCUGCCGUGCCGGAGGUGGCCGUGACACCAGGGUCACAUUCCCCGGGAUCACACAGCGCCGGGGUCCCACCCGCAGCGCUGCCGGCCGCCCAUGCCACCCCCCUUUCCAAGGGGAGGAAAAGCCCACCCUAACCCCAACCAAACGCUCUCCCUCCGGCCUGGCAUCCCAGGCUGGGAGAGGGCUGGCAGAAUUGCCGGCCGGCGAUUCUCCUCCUAGCCUGGGAUGCCGUCCCGGAAACAAUUGCUCCAUUAUCCUGCAGGCGCUGGAGCGAGGGCCAGCUCCUCCAUCAGCGAGGAGAGGGCUACAAUCCCCGGCAGGAAAACCACUUCUUCCAUUCAAACCUGCUCCAUCCCCUUUCUCCCGGAGCCGCGGACCCAAUUUUAACCCCUGGGCGAAGAGCAAAGGCUGCGGGGCUGUGGAGAGGGCUCGGGCAGAGGAAGCCGAGCUCGCCCAGAGCGGCUCCCGGGGCCGCAGCUCGGUGGUUAAAGAGGAAGAGGUGAAGCGAGCCCGGACGCGGCGCUUACAGAGCUCGGAGCGGAGCUCUCGGGGGCUCGGAGGCGCCGUUCCUGUCUCUCGCCCGCACACCCCUCUUGCUGCAGGCAGAAUUUAAUCUGCGACAACCCUGCAAAUCCCUGCGUGCCCCCGAUUCCCGCUUCUCCCCUGAACAUCCGCGUGAUUCCCCGCUCGGAGGUGAGCCAAGGGCCACGGAGAGAGAGAUACGGCCCCGGCAGCUGUAUCCGAUGGGGCCAGGGCUGGCCGUGCUCCGGGGCACCCAGAGCUGCCCACGGGCCACACGGGCUGACGGCCCCAUCGCCCAGCCCGCUCGGCUCCAUCGCCCGGCCGGGCCCCCCUCGCUGCCUGCCACCCACCCACAGCCCCGUCGCCAGCCCAGCUUCCAGGCAAGCAGCUGGACUCAGGAAUGCAGCCGGA